rnacentral:rRNA from 1 species
GACGUAGGGCGCGAGCGUUGUCCGGAUUUAUUGGGCGUAAAGAGCUCGUAGGCGGCUUGUCGCGUCGUCCGUGAAAACCCACAGCUCAACUGUGGGCUUGCGGUCGAUACGGGCAGGCUAGAGUUCGGUAGGGGAGACUGGAAUUCCUGGUGUAGCGGUGAAAUGCGCAGAUAUCUGGAGGAACACCGGUGGCGAAGGCGGCAUCCUGGACCGGCAUUGACGCUGAGGCGCGAAAGCCAGGGGAGCAAACGGG